UCUCCAAUAUGAUCAAAUCUGAGGUUCCACAUAUACUUUGAGUUCAUCUCAUUUUUGGAUCUCUCAAACCCUACAACACUCACUAUAUAUGCUUAGAUACCAAUAUCGAGUAGACCCAACAUACCUUCUAAAGGCAUGUCCUCUUUCUUUUUUUGGACUUUCUAGAUAUACAAUACAGUUCCUUCUUUGGCUUACUCUCAGACUUUAUAUUUCUUCACAGACUUCUUCCAAGUAGACCUUCUUUUGGAAGUAAAAAUUUGCUCCACAGCGAGAAAUCUACCUCUUGAACUCUUCAAGGUCCCAUCGGUAGUCACCAAUAUG
rnacentral:lncRNA from 1 species